AAUAGAUACCCCGGUAGUCCUAGCCGUGAACGAUGAACACUAGGCGUAGUCGGUAUCGACCCCGGCUGUGCCGUAGCUAACGCAUUAAGUGUUCCGCCUGGGGAGUACGGCCGCAAGGCUAAAACUCAAAGGAAUUGACGGGGGCCCGCGACAAGCAGCGGAGCGUGUGGUUUAAUUCGUCGCAACGCGAAGAACCUUACCAGGGCUUGACAUGUGGCGGAAAACGGCGGAAACGUCGUCCUCCCGCGAAGGGACCGUCAUGCAGGUGUUGCAUGGCUGUCGCCAGCUCGUGUCGUGAGAUGUUGGGUUAAGUCCCGCAACGAGCGCAACCCCCGUGGCAUGUUGUAUCUCUCAUGCCAGACUGCCGAGAGAAACUCGGAGGAAGGUGGGGAUGACGCCAAGUCAGCAUGGCCCUUACGUCCUGGGCUACACGCACGCUACAAUGGCCGGUACAACGGGUUGCCAAACCGCGAGGUGGAGCUAAUCCCUUAAAGCCGGUCUCAGUUCGGAUUGCAGGCUGCAACUCGCCUGCA
rnacentral:rRNA from 1 species